GCACUACUUUUUCAAAAAUCUGUUUCUCAAAACGAUUUGCCGGAUUUGGACUCUUUGGUUCAGAUUAAGAACCGCGACACAAAUCGAGUCCAAACUGUAGCAUGAGGCGCACGGGCGCGUCUACACGCUCAAGCUUCAAUUCUUCCACUCGAGCAAACUGUGCGUAUAUCAGAUCGCGAAAAUGACAUUUUCUAUCACUUUUUCAUUCUUCUCUCUCUCUAAAAAUUUUCAAGGACCUAGAUCUGGACUCUUUCUCUCUCUUUGCAUUUUAGCCUAGAUCCAUUGGAUUUUCUACCCUAGUGUCUUUGAGAAAAAGUUGGAGCCUUCCAAGAACUACAUUUUCAUCCGAAUAGAAGUUGGUUUCGGCAUCGUUGGAGUUUCUUCCUUUUGCUUUGCUCAACUCCUAACGUCGAGGUAAUGAUGGAAGGCCUCUACCAAAACAAUAGUAUUGGAGGGACUUUUGGGAAGCAAGAGCUUCUUUGUUUUGUUUUACUUUUUGUACAACCUAGGGUUUAAAUUGUAUGAGCUUGUCUCACUUUUGUUGUAACCAAGCCAAGGCUUGGAAAUGUGUAAGCCUAUAGGGCAUUUGUUUACGCUAAACUCAUUUGUAUUAUUAACAUUAUGAAAUGAAAGAACUUUACACUCUGAUUCAUGCAGCUA